rnacentral:rRNA from 1 species
UACAGAGGGUGCAAGCGUUGUUCGGAAUUAUUGGGCGUAAAGCGCGUGUAGGCGGCGUGACAAGUCGGGUGUGAAAGCCCUCAGCUCAACUGAGGAAGUGCGCCCGAAACUGUCGUGCUUGAGGACUGGAGAGGAGACUGGAAUUUACGGUGUAGCGGUGAAAUGCGUAGAUAUCGUAAGGAAGACCAGUGGCGAAGGCGGGUCUCUGGACAGUUCCUGACGCUGAGGCACGAAGGUCAGGGGAGCAAACGGG